GCAUUGGUGGUAUAGUGGUUAGCAUGGCUGCCUUUCAAGCAGUUGAUCUGGGUUCGAUUCCCAGCCAAUAGAUGGCA